CCUACGGGAGGCAGCAGUGAGGAAUAUUGGUCAAUGGGCGCAAGCCUGAACCAGCCAAGUAGCGUGAAGGAUGAAGGUUCUAUGGAUUGUAAACUUCUUUUAUAAGGGAAUAAACCCACCUACGUGUAGGUGUCUGUAUGUACCUUGUGAAUAAGGACCGGCUAACUCCGUGCCAGCAGCCGCGGUAAU
rnacentral:rRNA from 1 species